rnacentral:rRNA from 1 species
AAGUCGUAACAAGGUUUCCGUAGGUGAACCUGCGGAAGGAUCAUUACAGAGAACCUGCCCCUCGGGGUAGAUCUCCCACCCUUUGUUUAUAUUACCCUUGUUGCUUUGACAGGCCUGUCUCCUGACUGCUGGCUCUCGCUGGCCUGUGCCUGUCAGAGGACCCUAAAACCUUGCCAUUAAAUGUCGUCUGAGUAACAUACAAUUAUUAAAACUUUCAACAACGGAUCUCUUGGUUCUGGCAUCGAUGAAGAACGCAGCGAAAUGCGAUAAGUAAUGUGAAUUGCAGAAUUCAGUGAAUCAUCGAAUCUUUGAACGCACAUUGCGCCCUCUGGUAUUCCGGGGGGCAUGCCUGUUCGAGCGUCAUUAUAACCCUCAAGCUCUGCUUGGUAUUGGGCACCACCGGCUCUGGUGUGCCUCAAAAUCAGUGGCGGCGCCACCUGGCUUCAAGCGUAGUAAAUAUCCUCGCUCUGGAGGCUCUGGUGUGUGCCUGUCAGAAUCAAUAAUUAUCUAUUAAGGUUGACCUCGGAUCAGGUAGGGAUACCCGCUGAACUUAAGCAUAUCAAUAAGCGGAGGAAAAGAAACCAACAGGGAUUGCCUUAGUAACGGCGAGUGAAGCGGCAACAGCUCAAAUUUGAAAUCUGGCCUCACGGUCCGAGUUGUAAUUUGUAGAUUGAUGUUUCGAGCAUGGUCUGGUCUAAGUUCCUUGGAACAGGACGUCACAGAGGGUGAGAAUCCCGUAUGCGACUAGGUGCCUAAGCUCAUGUGAAACUCUUUCGACGAGUCGAGUUGUUUGGGAAUGCAGCUCAAAAUGGGUGGUAAAUUUCAUCUAAAGCUAAAUACUGGCCAGAGACCGAUAGCGCACAAGUAGAGUGAUCGAAAGAUGAAAAGCACUUUGGAAAGAGAGUUAAACAGUACGUGAAAUUGUUGAAAGGGAAGCGCUUGCAACCAGACUUGCACGUGGUCGAUCAUCCGAUAUUCUUACCGGUGCACUCGAUUAUGUUCAGGCCAGCAUCGGUUUUAGUGGUUGGAUAAAGGCCUAGGGAAUGUAGCUUCUCUCGGGGAGUGUUAUAGCCCUAGGUGCAAUGCAGCCUACUGGGACCGAGGACCGCGCUUCGGCUAGGAUGCUGGCGUAAUGGUUGUAAGCGACC